rnacentral:misc_RNA from 1 species
AAAUCCAGAGUGGGUGGAUUCAACUUUUCACUUUUCUUUUUACUCACUUUUGGCCACAGGUAUCCCUCAAUUGUUUCCAACAGCGAAAAGGGAUCUACGCUCACAACACUCUCCGGAUAAUCAACAAGUGAUGACUCCCCCUCUCCCUUCACAAACUGGACCUUCAGACAAGGAUAUGGCGUACAAUGCUCAUAUGGGAUUGUAGCAUAUGAGUUUCGUAGCUUAGAUGCAUGACUCAAGAUGACUGGGAAGUUCUCAACAGAGCAAAGUGCACUAUGCAAUCUCCUUAUCAAAGCUAGAAAAGUGGAGUUCUCCACAAGCGGGCCAGAGUUAUCCAAAAGUAAUCUACCAAACAGCUCAAAUCUCUUUUCUAUAAUAUACAGCUGAUUUACUGAGACAUCACCAUCUACCUUUUUUCCCAAGUAUUGGCCAUUGGAGAGGUAAUUUACUAGAGACUUAACAACUCCACUCUCAAUGAACUCGAACGUAGAAAUGGCAUUAUUUCCAUUUAACUCUGACAUAAUUUGAUGCAAAACAGGGUAAAAGUCUUCUUUCUCUUGAGGAGGAGCAAUGCUGCUACUAAAUUUGUGAACCAGAUCAGUUAACUGAGACGAAAGAGUCUUGAGCUUCUGAAGAACAUCGGUUAUUCCUAAUCUGGAGUUCA